UAUUUUACUAUUUCUUGUGAUACAUCUUUUUCAAUUUAUUAUUGACACAUUUGUACAAAUUGUUCAUGCAAUCAGAAUUUUCAAUGCAGGGUAACUACAAUGAAAAUUGUAUAUAUAUACUUGAUUAUGAGUUUGUUUGUUCAACCCAAAUGAAUCCGAGAGAAAGUCCUUAUUGCAUAUUGAAUCUUUCCACUUUUAAAGACAUACACUAUAAUGAGUAUUUUCAUUGCUUUUUCCUUCUCUGUAAAAUGGAGCUCCCCUCCUCCCUUUUUAAAAAAAUAAAUAAAAAAAUAAACAAACUUUUAUUCAGUCAUAAAUCAUAUAUAAAUCACAGACACAUAAUACACAAAACAAACUAUAUUACACAGAGCAUUCAACAAAAUGCAUAUUUUAGUACAUUUAUCUGAAGUAAAAUUUGAUGUGCUCCAUACAAAUCCUUCUUUUGGGAAUUUAAUACUCUCCAUACCAGAUCAUUCUUUUGGGAAUUUGAGGCUCUCCAUACAAAUCAUUCUUUUGGAAAUUUGAGGCUUUCCAUAAAAGAUUAUUCUUUUAUAAGUUUGAUGCUCUCCAUACAAGAUUAUUCUAUUUCAAUAUGAAUGCUCUGAAAAGUACAAGAUUAUUCUUUUGGGUUGAACAAUACAUUUGUGUGAACGAUGUGAUAGAAUAGCUUUGUGAAAAAAUGGUUGAAUGUUAAUUGGUAGAAUUGUGAAUUUUUCUUGUGAUAUGCUUGGUAUUAAGAUACCCAAAAGUACAACUAAACAUAAAGGAAUUUGGAAAAAAAAAACCAAACAAUUUCCUCAGACAGAGUGUGUGUCACCUGGCACAAUGAAAUUACCUCCCCUUCUUUGUGUUUGUGGAUAUGGACAUUAUGUCUUUUAAAGGCAAAAUUUGAUUCUGAAAUUGUAAUUAUGAAUUGAUGGGUUAUUUUUCCUUCUUGGUAGGAUUCGCAGCAAAACUUCAUGUAAUAGAUUAGCUGUCCAUCAAAUUCUCAAUUUUUGUCAAAAAGAUAGAUUAUUUUCAUACUAGUCAAAUUCAAUUAUUUUACCAAAAAUAUUUGUAUGAGUUUAUUACAAUUAUUAUACAAAAGUAUCUAGAUUUCACCAUUAUUACUCCUCACAGUGACCAUUGUGAAUAUUAGGGAAGAACCAGAUUUUAUUUCAAUUUGUUUGCUAAAUAGAAUUGAAAACAAAAACAGCCAUGAACAUUCCAUUUCCAAACUUACUAGUAUACAAAUGUUGCAUCCUUUCCUUUCCCUUUUGAUAAUGUCCCCACAAAGACACCUCACGUUUUGAAACCGUCUUUUUGAAUUUUAUAGUUCCAGAUUUGUUCUAGAAUCUUUUUUUUCUUCUUGUGGACAGAAAUUUUUUGAUGUAAAGAGACAAAAAGUGAUUGCUUUGCAAAUGUUGUUGGGUCAACUGGCCAAAAAUCUAGGUCAGUUGAAAAAGUACAGUUUCUGAACUUGAAAUAUGUGUAUAGUGACCUCAUCAGACUUCCUGUCCUAGCUGUUGUCUUCUGGGUAUUAGAGUACCUUUUGUGUUUACAUUUUGUGAUAUUUUUACUAAUUAACCAUUUAAUGGUCUUAUAUGGUAAUACUAUUGUAGGUAACAUGUUUUUGAUUUGUGUUAUGUUUUACGCUAGAAUACAUUCUAUAUCACUUAUACUGUGGAUACAUCGUACCUGCCAACUUUUCAAAAUGCCCAUGGGGGUUUUGGGUGCAAGAUGGCUGUCAUAGUCCGAAAAAAACCUUCAAGGGGGCUUCAAAUACAUUUUAAUGUUGUUUUUUGGGUUCUUCAUACUUUUAUAAGCCUUAAGUCAUUGUAAAAUUAAUUGUUUUGUUUAAAAUUGUGGACAAAAUUGCUCAUUCAAAAUUUCAAUUUGAGAGCCUCCAUGGGGGAAAUCCCCGUAAAUAGUGACAGUUGGCAGGUAUGAUACAUUAUUAUUCAUUGGAUACCAAUUUUUGUGGAUUACCAGGGAACCACAAUUUUUAAUGUCUAACGCAUAUUUAAGGUUAUAAAGAAAUGUAUGCAGACUUUGGCAAAACCACGAAAUCAAAUAUACAUGAAAAUGAAAAUUUUCCUCUAUCCAUGAAAAUUGGUACAAUUACACGGAAUUAUUGGGUAAAUCUGCAUUAAUUUUAAGAGAAAUUUAAGGUGGUACCCAACACUUUCACUAAAAUUAAUUUGGCUCGUUUAAUUUUCAUAAAAUUUUGUCAAAGUAUUUACUUUGACCUUUAAACAAAAAUAUAAAAAUUUCAAAAAUUUUGAACCAACCGUUUUGUCAGAAAAAUUACACUGGUUAUAUAGCAGUUUGACUAACACCAAUUUUGAUCAUUGAGAAGCUUAAUAUUCCUUUAACAACACAACGUAAUUAAAAUGUUAAGCUGACUUUACAGAGUUAUCUCCCUGUAGUGUUAGGUACCACCUUAAAUGAUAUUUCAAACACAAAGGUAGAAAAAAAAGAUAAGUAUGUAAUUUUCUGUUGAUAAAAGGCUCAGAUUUAUUGUUGUGAUUCUACAAUUACAUCUGUGCUUAAAAUUUAAACCUAUUUUUCCAAAUGUAUUCUUUGUCUGAACUCUGUACAAAUGAAACAAACAGAUUAUCGAUAAAGAAUGUCAUGUACAUCUGUUUAUUUGUUAAGAUUUGCUUAUUGGAAUUUUUAAAUGAGUUAUUUAUUAAAUUAUAU
rnacentral:lncRNA from 1 species